AUUCCGGUUGAUCCUGGUGGAGGAUAUUGCUAUUGGAAUUCGAUUUAGCCAUGCUAGUCGAGUGAGUUCAGAUUUGCGGCGAAUAGCUCAGCAACACGUGGCCAAGGUGCCCUUCAGUCAGGGAUACCCUCGCGAAACUGAGGUUAACAGGCUGAUACAAAACGCCAGCUGGAAUGCCGCGUUUCAGAAAGACAUCGCUGAAGGAUGCGGCUGCGGCCGAUUAGGUAGACGGUGGGGUAACGGCCCACCGUGCCAGUAAUCGGUACGGGUGAUGAGAGUCAGAGCCCGGAGACGCAAUCUGACACAAGAUUCCGGGCCCUAUGGGGGGCAGCAGGGGCGAAACCUUUACACUGCACGCAACUGCGA
rnacentral:rRNA from 1 species